UGACCGUGGCCAAGUAGCAUAAUCCAUUGUCUUUUUAUUAAAGGCUAGAAUGAAUGGUUGAAUGAGAUAUUUCCUAUUUUUAUUUUAAUAAAAAUGAAUUUUAAUUUUUAGUAAAAAUGCUAAAAUAAAAAAAUUAGACGAGAAGACCCUAUAAAUCUUUAUUUUUAAAUAAUAAUAUUAAUUAAGAAAAUUUUCAAUAAAUUAUUUUUUAAAAAUUUUAUUGGGAAGAUAAUGAAAUUUUAAAAACUUUUAUUUUGAUUUAUAAAUAUAAUUAAUUUAUUGAAUAUAUUUUAAAAUAUUUAAAAAAUUAAGUUACUUUAGGGAUAACAGCGUAAUUAUUUUAGAGAGCUCUUAUCGAUAAAAUUGUUUGCGACCUCGAUGUUGAAUUAUAGACACUUAACUCUUUAA
rnacentral:rRNA from 1 species